rnacentral:SRP_RNA from 1 species
CGGGCAGGGGAAGGCCCCGGACCACCGGGGCAGAAACCACGUACAGCCCGUAAACACCCAUCACCCCUCACGCAGAGGCAAUGAACCCCGCCCCAUGGGGCUGGCGGAGGCGGAGCCCCCUCUGGAGAGAGGGGGUGAACCGCCUUAGCUGGGGGAACCAGGCCAGGCCCGGAAGGGAGCAACCUAACCCUGGACGCCAGCGUUCAUGGGUCACCGGGGGGGAGUCGGCGUGAGAUGGCUCUGGUGGGUGUUUGCGGGCUGUACGUGGAGCUCUGCCCG